rnacentral:rRNA from 1 species
GUAGGGAAUAUUGGGCAAUGGAGGCAACUCUGACCCAGCCAUGCCGCGUGUGUGAAGAAGGCCUUUUGGUUGUAAAGCACUUUAAGCGAGGAGGAGGCUACCGAGAUUAAUACUCUUGGAUAGUGGACGUUACUCGCAGAAUAAGCACCGGCUAACUCUGUGCCAGCAGCCGCGGUAAUACAGAGGGUGCAAGCGUUAAUCGGAUUUACUGGGCGUAAAGCGCGCGUAGGUGGCCAAUUAAGUCAAAUGUGAAAUCCCCGAGCUUAACUUGGGAAUUGCAUUCGAUACUGGUUGGCUAGAGUAUGGGAGAGGAUGGUAGAAUUCCAGGUGUAGCGGUGAAAUGCGUAGAGAUCUGGAGGAAUACCGAUGGCGAAGGCAGCCAUCUGGCCUAAUACUGACACUGAGGUGCGAAAGCAUGGGGAGCAAACAGGAUUAGAAACCCCAGUAGUCC